UGCGCAGGCGGUUCGUUUUGUGGGUGGUGAAAUCUCCUGGCUCAACUGGGAGGGGGCCAUCCAAACGGGCGAACUUGAGGCGUGGAGAGGGACGUGGAAUUCCGGGUGGAGCGGUGAAAUGCGUAGAGAUCCGGAGGAACACCGACGGCGAAGGCAGCGUCCUGGCCACGACCUGACGCUCAGGCACGAAAGCUGGGGGAGCAAACAGGAUUAGAUACCCUGGUAGUCCCAGCUGUAAACGAUGUCCACCAGGUGCUGGAGGUAUCGACCCCUUCGGUGCCGAAGCUAACGUGAUGAGUGGACCGCCUGGGGAUACGGCCGCAAGGUUAAA
rnacentral:rRNA from 1 species